CAUUCCUUCGAAAAUCUGAACAAAAUGCGUGAGAACUCACUACCGUC
rnacentral:snoRNA from 1 species